rnacentral:rRNA from 1 species
GUGCCAGCCGCCGCGGUAAUACGUAGGUGGCAAGCGUUGUCCGGAAUUAUUGGGCGUAAAGGGCUCGCAGGCGGUUUCUUAAGUCUGAUGUGAAAGCCCCCGGCUCAACCGGGGAGGGUCAUUGGAAACUGGGAAACUUGAGUGCAGAAGAGGAGAGUGGAAUUCCACGUGUAGCGGUGAAAUGCGUAGAGAUGUGGAGGAACACCAGUGGCGAA